GCCAGAAUGGCAUAGUGGUUUGAGUUUUGGACUAUGACUCUGGAGAUCAGGGUUCAAAUCCCUGCUUGGUCA